rnacentral:rRNA from 1 species
UACGUAGGGGGCAAGCGUUGUCCGGAAUUAUUGGGCGUAAAGAGCGUGUAGGCGGUCCGGUAAGUCAGCUGUGAAAAGUCAAGGGCUCAACCCUUGAAUGCCGGUUGAUACUGUCGGGCUAGAGUCCGGAAGAGGCGAGUGGAAUUCCCGGUGUAGCGGUGAAAUGCGCAGAUAUCAGGAGGAACACCGAUUGCGAAGGCAGGCUCGCUGGGACGUUACUGAGCUGAGACGCGAAAGCGUGGGGAGCAAACAGG